rnacentral:rRNA from 4 species
UCACACCCGUUCCCAUACCGAACACGGAAGUUAAGCUCUUCAGCGCCGAUGGUAGUCGGGGGUUUCCCCCUGUGAGAGUAGGACGCCGCCAAGC